UGUCGUUAGCUCAGUUGGUAGAGCAGUUGACUUUUAAUCAAUUGGUCGCAGGUUCGAAUCCUGCACGACCCACCA
rnacentral:tRNA from 1 species